UACGUAGGGGGGCGAGCGUUGUCCGGAUUUAUUGGGCGUAAAGAGCGUGUAGGCGGCCAGGUAGGUCUGCUGUGAAAACUCGAGGCUCAACCUCGAGACGUCGGCGGAAACCAUCUGGCUAGAGUCCGGAAGAGGAGAGUGGAAUUCCUGGUGUAGCGGUGAAAUGCGCAGAUAUCAGGAAGAACACCCGUGGCGAAGGCGGCUCUCUGGGACGGUACUGACGCUGAGACGCGAAAGCGUGGGGAGCAAACAGG
rnacentral:rRNA from 1 species